GACAUCAGCAACUUCUACAUUCGGUUUAAUCUUUCAGAAAACCCCCAGAACCAGCCACUCAGCUCCCAGAGACUCCCACGAAUGAGACAGUAAAACAGGACCCCAAGGAAACACAACCAGAGCAUCCAUCAAGUCCGAUCGAACCACAACAGCCCCAGGACGUUGAAACUGGGUUAGUCCCCCCAUUUAACAGCCUCAGCCUCUCUCUCCCCAACGGCCUCCUGCUGCAGUUUCUACGUGAGGAUACACAAGGGGUGCCGCCUGAAGAAGUGGGAGUGCUGGUCCGGCUGAGUUUCCCUUUGCGUGAGAAAGGGACGAUUCCCGAUUCGUCCCUGUCUAAAGAAGUGUCCCGUCUGGUCACGAGUCAGGGCGCUGUCGUCC
rnacentral:lncRNA from 1 species